CCUACGGGUGGCAGCAGUGAGGAAUAUUGGUCAAUGGGCGCGAGCCUGAACCAGCCAAGCCGCGUGAGGGAUGACGGUCCUGUGGAUUGUAAACCUCUUUUGUCGGGGAGCAAAAGACGCCACGCGUGGCGUUCCGAGAGUACCCGAAGAAAAAGCAUCGGCUAACUCCGUGCCAGCAGCCGCGGUAAUACGGAGGAUGCGAGCGUUAUCCGGAUUUAUUGGGUUUAAAGGGUGCGCAGGCGGAUGAUGAAGUCAGCGGUAAAAUUGAGGGGCUCAACCACGGCGCGCCGUUGAAACUGGUAUUCUUGAGUGAGAGAGAAGUAUGCGGAAUGCGAGGUGUAGCGGUGAAAUGCAUAGAUAUCGCGCAGAACUCCGAUUGCGAAGGCAGCAUACUGGCGCUCAACUGACGCUGAUGCACGAAAGUGUGGGUAUCGAACAGGAUUAGAUACCCUAGUAGUC
rnacentral:rRNA from 1 species